UUUUCCUAAAUCUUUAGGUUACUAUUUGUUUGCCAAGAUUAAAGUAUUUUAGUGAUUAUUAGUGAUUUAGGGUACUAGUGGUACUUUACAAGUUACUGCCUUUAACCCCAACUGGCUUCUGGGGCUUGUAAUUUUGAGGCAGACCAUAGCAAGACCAAGACUUUCUGGAAAGUAGACACUUCCAAGAGGUGGUGUCCCUCCCCUCUCUGUAGGAGUGACUGGGAAAAUGGCUAUAAAAUGGAAGAAAAGAGAUCAGGAAGAAUUAUCUCUAGACAAGGAUGUAGGAGAAGAUCACAGAACUCUUCUGUGGAAGGAGAAAACAGAUGCUUAAAGUGAAGUGUGAUGCAGUGGCAUCCACAAAAAUGGCUGUGGGACCUGGGAGGCCAGAUGAAGGCACUCAGGGCUAAUGAGCAGCAAUGAGCUAGAUAAAUGGGUUAAUUACAUUUAUCUGGAGAGCCCUUCUGUUUAAGGCUGGAGGAGUAAAGCAGGAUUUCUUUGCUUUGGAAGCAGAAAGACCCAGAGAAAUUUGGGCUGAAAUAGGUAAUACAACCAAGCCUUUCACAGGAAGAGGGAAGCACUUGCAAGCAAAGGGGAGCUGAAGGAUUGUCAAAAGAAGGUCUGAAAGCAUUCUGUUUUCUCUCUGUCCAUAAGGAAGGAAACUUCUUGUGGUCCUGCUGAGUGGUUUUUGGCUUUCAAAGCUCCAUCAAUAUAAAGAAAGUAAGAGUCAAGUGAGAUACAAGAAGCAGUGAAGAGACAUGAAAACUAACGAUAAGGUUGUGUAUCCAUCCUCUAAGACUGACAUUUUCAGUCCUGAAACAUAGAGUUAAGUGAUUCUCCAACUACAAAAUCAGAUGUGUACUAAGUUUUUGCCUGAGCUAGGCAUUCCUUGUAUCAUGUUUACAGUAGCAGUAUAUAAUUGAACUAAUAAUAUUUGCAUUAGCAAUAAAAUUUCAGUAGCUGAGAUUUUAUUUUUGCAAGAUGGGGCAACUUUAGAAGCCCUCAUUUCCAUAGGACAAUAAAGUACCUGAAAACUGAGCUCAUCCUGUUACAGAUCCUGAAAAGAAUUAAAGAAAUUCCUGUGGAUUUGUCAUAUACAAUUAGUGAGUCCUAUUUCCUUAAACAGGCAUUUUGCAGGUGUUUGAUUGUUCUAAUACAACAUAACCUUCUAGGAAAACUUGUUCUUCCGAAUUGAAUGACUGAAAGUUCAAAUGUUAACAAAUAAAGGAGCUUUGCUUUAAA